UAAAAUUGCAACUGGUAUGUCUUUCUAGUUAAAUAAUACCCCCCUACACUAUGUGUUUAUUUCCCUUCUUCUGUUAUGAAUUCUCCAUUAUAUGCUCCUUUUAGUCUGUAAUGCUCUCUUUCAUUCUGUUUUGCACCUUAAAGUCUGUUAUGCUCUUUCUUUAUGUUUCUGCACCCUUAGUUUGUUAUGCAUUUUUUCUUGUGCUUCUGUGAAUUUUCUCUAUGUGAGUCCCCUUCCCUUUGACCCUCUCUUAUGUGUGAG
rnacentral:lncRNA from 1 species